AUACACAUAUAACAUCACAACAUUAACACCACAACAUUAACAUCACAACUCAACGAUCUAUUUCUUAUACACUACCACACCACCUAAUCAUCAUAACCAAUUCACUGUGAUUCACACAACAUCCUUUUUCCGUAUCCCACAGCCCAAGAGAACCUCUUUUUCGCAUCACACGACCAAAAGAGUCAUCACUACCAACCCAUCCUCUUCCUUCAUCACAUGACCGAAGAGAAACCUUUCCCGCAUCACACUUAACUCCUUCUUUCUAUCUCCCGCUUUCACCUACUUUCACGUCACCCAUCAUCAUCAUCACUCCAAAUUUUCCAUGCACACCAAUAACCAUAUAGAUUGCAACAUAUAAUAAAGAGUAUCAUACAAUGUCAAACCCUACACACAAGGUAAUUCUAGUCACUUCCCUUACCUGGUCUCGUACGAUUUCCAAAAUCACUAAGAAAGCUUCACAAUAUCAUCGAUGGUCCUCCCAUUUUUUAUGCCUCGUUCUCGACUCUAUUUUCUCCUAGAAAACGUCUUUUCUCUCCCUUUUCUUUCUAAUUUUCGUUUUUUCCCCUUUUUAAUCUUCUCCUUUUUAUCCUCUUCUAUUCUAUCUUUAUCUUCUUAGUUUUAACAAAAUCUCUCAGUUUAUCUCUAAAACCACUAAGAUUUCCUCUCUUAUUCUCUCUUAACUACUUUUUAAAAUAUCAUCAACCACCAAAUCUUUUUAAAAUCUAAAAUAUCUGAUAAUGAUUUUCUCUAAUAAUAAUAAUAUUUCUUUUAAUCUUUAAACCCA
rnacentral:lncRNA from 1 species